rnacentral:rRNA from 1 species
GUGGGGAAUAUUGGACAAUGGGGGGAACCCUGAUCCAGCCAUGCCGCGUGUGUGAAGAAGGCCUUUUGGUUGUAAAGCACUUUAAGCGAGGAGGAGGCUACCGAGAUUAAUACUCUUGGAUAGUGGACGUACUCGCAGAAUAAGCACCGGCUAACUCUGUGCCAGCAGCCGCGGUAAUACAGAGGGUGCAAGCGUUAAUCGGAUUUACUGGGCGUAAAGCGCGCGUAGGUGGCCAAUUAAGUCAAAUGUGAAAUCCCCUAGCUUAACUUGGGAAUUGCAUUCGAUACUGGUUGGCUAGAGUAUGGGAGAGGAUGGUAGAAUUCCAGGUGCAGCGGUGAAAUGCGUAGAGAUCUGGAGGAAUACCGAUGGCGAAGGCAGCCAUCUGGCCUAAUACUGACACUGAGGUGCGAAAGCAUGGGGAGCAAACAGGAUUAGAAACCCUGGUAGUCC